UGGUUCUGGCAUNGAUGAAGAACGCAGCGAAAUGCGAUAAGUAAUGUGAAUUGCAGAAUUCAGUGAAUCAUCGAAUCUUUGAACGCACAUUGCGCCCGCCAGCAUUCUGGCGGGCAUGCCUGUUCGAGCGUCAUUUCAACCCUCAAGCACCGCUUGGCGUUGGGGCUCUACGGUUGACGUAGGCCCCCAAAGGUAGUGGCGGACCCUCCCGGAGCCUCCUUUGCGCAGUAACUUUUGUCUCGCACUGGGAUCCGGAGGGACUCUAGCCGUAAAACCCCCCAAUUUUCCAAAGGUUGACCUCGGAUCAGGUAGGAAUACCCGCUGA
rnacentral:misc_RNA from 1 species